AGAUCAAAAUUUCGGGUUCGAAGCCCAACAGCGGAAAUAUCUUUUUGGUGCUUUUAAUACUGUAUCUUGUAUGACAAUUGAAGAUACUUUCUAAUUUUGUUCUUUCUUCUCUGCUCAUUGUUAUGGCUUUUAUACUAUAUUAUAUGAUUCUUGAAGAAAAUUGUGCUUGAGUUUUAGAUAUGAAGGGGUCAUAAUUUAGAGAACAAAAACAGAAAAGAAAAUGAAUGGGAAAAAAGAAGCAAAUACUCUCUUCAAUAAACCUUCACAUAAAAUAGAUAUACCUUAUAAGUUCUAAAUUCUAACAAAAGAUCCGUUGUAGCACAUUGUCGAAAGCAAUCAUUCUAGUUUAAUACUGGAUCAGAAUUCUGGGAUCGAAGCCCGGCAGCGGAAAAAUCUUCUUGGUGCUUUUUAUAUUGUAUCUUGUAUGACAAUUGAAGAUACUUUUUGAUAUUGUUCUUUCUUCUCUGCUCAUUGUCAUGGUUUUUAUACUAUAUUAUAGGAUUCUUGAAGAAAAUCGUGCUUGAGUAUUAGAUAUGAAGGGGUCAUAAUUUAGAGAACAAAAACAGAAAAGGAAAUGAAUGGGAGAAAAGAAGCAAAUACUAUUU
rnacentral:sRNA from 1 species